CCUACGGGUGGCAGCAGUGGGGAAUAUUGGUCAAUGGGCGCGAGCCUGAUCCAGCGAAGCCGCGUGAAGGAUGACUGCCCUCCGGUCGUUAAACUCCUUCUAUAAAGGAAUAAAGUGAGGCACGUGUGCCUUUUUGUAUGUACUUUAUCAUUAAGGAUCGGCUAACUCGGCGCCAGCAGCAGCGGUAAUACGGAGGAUCCGAGCGUUAUCCGGAUUUAUUGGGUUUAAAGGGAGCGUAGAUGGGUUGUUAAGUCAGUUGUGAAAGUUUGCGGCUCAACCGUAAAAUUGCAAUUGAUACUGGCAGCCUCGAGUACAGUUGAGGUAGGCGGAAUUCGGGGUGUAGCGGUGAAAUGCUUAGAUAUCACGAAGAACUCCGAUUGCGAAGGCAGCCUACUAGACUGCCACUGACAUUGAUGCUCGAAAGUGUGGGUAUCAAACAGGAUUAGAUACCCCUGUAGUC
rnacentral:rRNA from 1 species